CGUAACAAGGUAGCUGUAGGUGAACCUGCCGAUGGAUCAUUAACGACUAUGAUCAAAAAACUCAAGACUUUAAAGGCAAAGACUACGAAAAGGUAUGAUGUCUUUUUAGUCGCCAAUUGCUGGUCUUUUUUAAGAUUUCAGUUUCAUGAUAAACGGCUAGAUUGGGUCUCUAAGGUUGGCGGAGCAGUUGUUCGUAAGACCGUGGCUGCAACGAUGCCGGCUGGUAGAGUCGCUUUACAUGGCUUGAUUCUAGAGUUAAUAACCCGUUGCGGUGCCCAAAAAUCAUAUUAUUCAUUAAAAUUUUUUCAAAAACAUAGCAAUAAAUUAAGCUAUAUCGGUGGAUCACUUGGCUCGUAGAUCGAUGAAGAACGCAGUGAAUUGCGUUAAGAAUCACGAAUUACAGAUAUUAUGAGUGACAUGUUUUCGAUUGCAUAUUGCAUUGUCAAGCAUUUGCUUGUCAGUAUAUUCAACUCAGGGUGUGUAACACUAUAAAGUGAAUUCAAAUUUAUUCAACAAAAAUUAAUACUAUGCGCUUGAUGAUAGUAUUAAAAUUAGAGCUUCUCAAAAGCUUUGAUUAAAGUGCGACUGUUUAGCAGUAAAUUGUAUUGUGUUAUUCAUAAUUUCUUGAUGAUAUUUUACAUUUUUCUGCAAAAUAGCAGUUUCAAGCACUAACCAAUUGUUUGGUUGAAUCCACCUGAGUCGAGUAUGAUUACCUGCUGAACUUAAGCAUAUCAGUAAGCAGAGGAAAAGAAACUAACAAGGAUUUCCUUAGUAACGGCGAGUGAAA
rnacentral:rRNA from 1 species